GGGUUGAUGUUCCUCAAGAGGCAUUUAUGGCUGUGUUGAAACUAGAAAAGGAGGUGCUAUGAAACAGCUUUGCAAUCAGCACAAGUCUAUCGUUUGUGUAAAGACCUCUGUUUGGCCUCAACUGAAUCUAAUUCAUUUGAGAGGAAGCAUAGUUUGUUUUCAGCUGGGCCAGAGGAACCAAUUGACAACAUAUCCAUGUCGGAAAGUAAGGAGCUAAUCUGACAUGCACUAAUUUUGUUCCAUAUGUCAGGCUACGAAGCCCCAAAAAUGAUGUGGUCACACAGCUCUGCCAGACAUUUCUGCGAUCUUCUUAUACCAAAUAGAGUAGUACGCAUUUUGUUUGGUUAUCGUUAAUUCCCGUCACUGAGUUUGUAUCAGAAAAGGUUAUUCUGUAAUUUAAUUACUUGUAAUGCUAAGUACUCUUAAAUUGUAUGUGAUAUGGACAAGGAACAAGAGUGUAGUACACAAGAGAAAAGAAAUGGUCAGCUUAAUCAG
rnacentral:sRNA from 1 species